CUGAGUUGGGGGCCGCAGAGCUGGGAUGUCCGCCCUGGGGCUGCGCCCAGCGUGGGGGGAGGGGGCGGCGCGACUCCCCCCCCUCCCCCCUUUGUCUUGGGCUGAGGAGAGGUGCUGCGCUCGGCCAGAGCAAUGAGCACAGUGCCUGGCGCGCAGCGAGUCCUCAAAGUAUCCCGGCCUUGAUUGCAACCCCAGCGCGGGGAGAAAACAGGAAAGGGAGUGAUAACUGGGCUGACAGAGGCUAACUGCCAUUAUUAAGCAUCCAGGCUGACCAGGCGCCGUCACCACCCUUUCCUUCCCGCGGUGGCAGUCUUGGCACACAGGGCGCACGUGUGUCCUAGGAUUGUGAAAGAGGCAGAGCUGGGAUGCGAACCUGGGUCGUUUGGCUCUUGCCGGCUGCGCUAGGCUGAGGAAAACGCGUUCUUGAACCAGGCUUUGAAGAUUGAGAAGGUUUGAUGGGUGGAGAUAACUGAGCGAGCUCUGCCCCAGUUCGCUGUAAGACCUUGGGAAGACGUUUGAUCUUUGAGGGCCAUACUUUCCUCCGACGUGAAAAUGGCUGGACUUAGGAAGACUAAGAACUAAUAUGUUCACCUUCUAGCAAAUUACGGGAAGGAACAUGAGAAAUAUCUCGAGCUAGCUAGCCUGACGGAAGGGCUGCACCCUGUCCACGCGUGUUGUCUGGCCUGGCACAGGACAUACGUGCUGCA